UCUUCCGUAGUAUAGUGGUCAGUAUGUGAGCUUGUCAUCGGAUUCCUCGCCUGCCCAAGAGUCCAGACACCGCUCGAGACCCGGGUUCAAUUCCCGGCGGGAGAG